CGGUAAUACGUAGGGGGCGAGCGUUGUCCGGAAUUAUUGGGCGUAAAGGGUACGCAGGCGGUCUAAGAAGUCAGAUGUUAAAGCGUAGGGCUUAACCCUAUAAAGCAUAUGAAACUGAUAGACUUGAGUGAAGGAGAGGAAAGUGGAAUUCCUGGUGUAGCGGUGAAAUGCGUAGAUAUCAGGAGGAAUACCAGUGGCGAAGGCGACUUUCUGGACUUUAACUGACGCUGANGUACGAAAGCGCGGGGAGCAAACAGGAUUAGAUACCCUGGUAGUCCGCGCCGUAAACGAUGAAUGCUAGGUAUUGGGAGUCAAUUUCAGUGCCGAAGUAAACACAUUANNCAUUCCGCCUGGGGAGUACGGUGGCAACNCUGAAACUCAAGGAAUUGACGGGGACCCNCNCAGCACCGGACAUNUGGUUUAUUUC
rnacentral:rRNA from 1 species